rnacentral:rRNA from 1 species
AUUGAACGCUAGCGGGAUGCCUUACACAUGCAAGUCGAACGGAGUGGCGAACGGGUGAGUAAUGUAUCGGAACGUGCCCAGUAGCGGGGGAUAACUACGCGAAAGCGUAGCUAAUACCGCAUACUAUUGGAGCGGCCUAUAUCGGAUUAGCUAGUUGGUGGGGUAACGGCUCACCAAGGCGACGAUCCGUAGCUGGUUUGAGAGGACGACCAGCCAAACUGGGACUGAGCCACGGCCCGAACUCCUACGGGGGGCAGCAUUGGGGAAUUGUGGACAAGGGCGGAAACCCUGAUCCAGCCAGCCCGCGUGUGGGAUGAAGGCUUCCGGGUUUUAAAGCACUUUUGGCAGGAAGGCGGUACCUGCAGAAUAAGCACCGGCAACCUACGUGCAAGCAGCCGCGGUAUAC